UCCUACGGGGGGCAGCAGUGGGGGAUAUUGGACAAUGGGGGGAAUCCUGAUCCAGCGACGCCGCGUGAGUGAAGAAGUAUUUCGGUAUGUAAACUUCUUUUGUCAAGGGACAAAAUCAGGCUCGAGAGCCUGACCGAGGGUACUUGAAGAAAAAGCAUCGGCUAACUCCGUGCCAGCAGCCGCGGUAAUACGGAGGAUGCGAGCGUUAUCCGGAUUUAUUGGGUUUAAAGGGUGCGUAGGCGGGCUGUUAAGUCAGCGGUAAAAGCCCGGGGCUCAACCCCGGCGAGCCGUGGAAACUGGCUGUC
rnacentral:rRNA from 1 species